rnacentral:lncRNA from 1 species
ACCUAGGGCUGAGCAUUUCCGGUUCGGUCCGGUUUUGAACCAAAAUAAACAACCAAACCGAUUUUAUUUUUUUUUAAUUUUUUGAACCGAACCGAACCGAAAACCGGUUCAAACCGAUUAAUUUCGGUUCGGUUUUUUUCUCUUCCAAACCGGUUCAAACCGAAAUUAUUCCAACUUGUUCACAGUCCCAAAAAAAUCCCUAAUCCCUGCGUCGAAGAAGGCAACUAAAAAUCUUCCUUGUUUGGGCAUUUUAAUGCUCUGUGCCCCGACCGCCCACAAUUAAACACAAGAGCUUCCAAAUCCAAAGCUUCUGCUACGCAUAAUAAAGAAAAGAUGUCAUGUUUGUUUGCUGA